GUGCCAGCAGCCGCGGUAAUACAGAGGUCCCGAGCGUUGUUCGGAUUCACUGGGCGUAAAGGGUGCGUAGGUGGUGAGGUAAGUCGGAUGUGAAAUCUCGGAGCUUAACUCCGAAACUGCAUUGGAAACUACCUUGCUCGAGGGUUGGAGGGGGGACUGGAAUUCUCGGUGUAGCAGUGAAAUGCGUAGAUAUCGAGAGGAACACCAGUGGCGAAGGCGAGUCCCUGGACAACUCCUGACACUGAGGCACGAAAGCUAGGGGAGCAAACAGGAUUAGAUACCCUGGUAGUCC
rnacentral:rRNA from 1 species